rnacentral:rRNA from 1 species
UUCCUACGGGAGGCAGCAGUCGAGAAUAAUUCACAAUGGGGGCAACCCUGAUGGUGCAACGCCGCGUGGAGGAUGACGGUCUUCGGAUUGUAAACUCCUGUCAUCCGGGAGUAAGACCUGGCAGUUAAUAGCUGACAGGGUUGAUAGUACCGGAAGAGGAAGGGACGGCUAACUUCGUGCCAGCAGCCGCGGUAAUACGAAGGUCCCGAGCGUUGUUCGGAAUCACUGGGCGUAAAGGGAGCGUAGGCGGCGCGGUAAGUCAGAUGUGAAAUCCCGGGGCUCAACCCCGGAACUGCAUCCGAUACUGCCGUGCUAGAGGAUUGGAGAGGUAGCUGGAAUUCUUGGUGUAGCAGUGAAAUGCGUGGAUAUCAAGAGGAACACUCGUGGCGAAAGCGAGCUACUGGACAACUCCUGACGCUGAGGCUCGAAGGCCAGGGGAGCGAAAGGGAUUAGAUACCCCUGUAGUCCUGGCAGUAAACGGUGCACGCUUGGUGUGAGGGGAUUCGACCCCCCUCGUGCCGGAGCAAACGCGUUAAGCGUGCCGCCUGGGAAGUACGGUCGCAAGACUAAAACUCAAAGAAAUUGACGGGGACCCGCACAAGCGGUGGAGUAUGUGGCUUAUUUCGAUGCAACGCGAAGAACCUACCUAGGCUUGACAUGCAUCUCUAAGCGCGUGAAAGCGCGUGACCCUUCGGGGGAUUUGCACAGGUGCUGCAUGGCGUCGUCAGCUCGUGUCGUGAGAUGUUGGGUUAAGUCCCGCAACGAGCGCAACCCUUGUGAUUAGUUGCCAGCGGUUCGGCCGGGAACUCUAAUCAGACUGCCCAGAUCAACUGGGAGGAAGGUGGGGACGACGUCAGGUCAGUAUGGCCCUUACGCCCAGGGCUACACACGUGCUACAAUGGCGUAUACAGAGUGUUGCAAGCUGGUGACAGUGAGCCAAUCACAAAAAGUACGUCUCAGUUCGGAUUGCAGGCUGCAACUCGCCUGCAUGAAGUUGGAAUCGCUAGUAAUCGCGCAUCAGCAAUGGCGCGGUGAAUACGUUCCCGGGCC